GGCUCCAUAGCUCAUGGUUAGAGCAUUGGUCUUGUAAACCAGGGGUCGUGAGUUCAAUUUCUCACUGGGGCCU